rnacentral:rRNA from 1 species
UACGUAGGAGGCAAGCGUUGUCCGGAAUUAUUGGGCGUAAAGAGCGCGUAGGCGGUCCGGUAAGUCGGCUGUGAAAGUCAAGGGCUCAACCCUUGAAAGCCGGCCGAUACUGUCGGACUAGAGUCCGGAAGAGGCGAGUGGAAUUCCCGGUGUAGCGGUGAAAUGCGCAGAUAUCAGGAGGAGCACCAAUGGCGAAGGCAGCUCGCUGGGACGUGACUGACGCUGAGACGCGAAAGCGUGGGGAGCAAACAGG